rnacentral:rRNA from 1 species
GUCUCUUUGCUAUUAAACAUAUAAAGAGUCUGACCUGCCCGGUGAUGACUAAAUUUAACGGCCGCAGUACUUUGACUGUGCGAAGGUAGCGUAAUUAUUUGCCUUAUAAUUGAAGGCUUGUAUGAAUGGUUUGACGAAAAUAAGUCUGUCUUAAUUUGAUUUUUUAGAAUUUAACUUUUAAGUGAAGAGGCUUUUAUAUAAUUGAUAGACAAGAAGACCCUGUCGAGCUUGAGUUUUAAUAUAUAUUUUAUAAAUAUAAGUUUAUAAUUGCUUUAGUUGGGGUGACUGAGGAAUAAUAUAAGUUUCUUUAUUUUUAAAUGAAUUAUUAUUGUUGAUCCAUAUAUAAUGAUUAGUAGAAUUAGUUACCGCAGGGAUAACAGCAUAAUCUUUUUUGAGAGUUCUUAUCGAAAAAUGGGUUUGUGACCUCGAUGUUGGAUUGAAGUAUCCUAAGGGUGCAGACGCUUUUAAGGGUUAGUCUGUUCGACUAUUAAAACUUU